rnacentral:rRNA from 1 species
AUCUUGGACAAUGGGGGCAACCCUGAUCCAGCCAUCCCGCGUGUGCGAUGAAGGCCUUCAGGUUGUAAAGCACUUUUGGCAGGGAAGAAAAGCCGUGGGUUAAUACCCUACGUUGCUGACGGUACCUGCAGACUAGGCACCGGCUAACUACGUGCCAGCAGCCGCGGUAAUACGUAGGGUGCAAGCGUUAAUCGGAAUUACUGGGCGUAAAGCGUGCGCAGGCGGUUCGGCAAGAAGGAUGUGAAAUCCCGGGGCUUAACCUCGGAACUGCAUUCUUAACUGCCGGGCUAGAGUAUGUCAGAGGGGGGUAGAAUUCCGCGUGUAGCAGUGAAAUGCGUAGAGAUGCGGAGGAAUGCCGAUGGCGAAGGCAGCCCCCUGGGAUAAUACUGACGCUCAUGCACGAAAGCGUGGGGAACAAAC